UACGUAGGUGGCAAGCGUUAUCCGGAUUUAUUGGGCGUAAAGGGAACGCAGGCGGUCUUUUAAGUCUGAUGUGAAAGCCUUCGGCUUAACCGGAGUAGUGCAUUGGAAACUGGGAGACUUGAGUGCAGAAGAGGAGAGCGGAACUCCAUGUGUAGCGGAGAAAUGCGUAGAUAUAUGGAAGAACACCAGUGGCGAAAGCGGCUCUCUGGUCUGUAACUGACGCUGAGGUUCGAAAGCGUGGGUAGCAAACAGG
rnacentral:rRNA from 1 species